GACGAACGCUGGCGGCGCUCCUAACACAUGCAAGUCGAACGAGCGAGAGAGAGCUUGCUUUCUCGAGCGAGUGGCGAACGGGUGAGUAACGCGUGAGGAACCUGCCUCAAAGAGGGGGACAACAGUUGGAAACGACUGCUAAUACCGCAUAAGCCCACGACCCGGCAUCGGGUUGAGGGAAAAGGAGCAAUCCGCUUUGAGAUGGCCUCGCGUCCGAUUAGCUAGUUGGUGAGGUAACGGCCCACCAAGGCGACGAUCGGUAGCCGGACUGAGAGGUUGAACGGCCACAUUGGGACUGAGACACGGCCCAGACUCCUACGGGAGGCAGCAGUGGGGAAUAUUGCACAAUGGGGGAAACCCUGAUGCAGCGACGCCGCGUGGAGGAAGAAGGUCUUCGGAUUGUAAACUCCUGUUGUUGAGGAAGAUAAUGACGGUACUCAACAAGGAAGUGACGGCUAACUACGUGCCAGCAGCCGCGGUAAAACGUAGGUCACAAGCGUUGUCCGGAAUUACUGGGUGUAAAGGGAGCGCAGGCGGGAAGACAAGUUGGAAGUGAAAUCUAUGGGCUCAACCCAUAAACUGCUUUCAAAACUGUUUUUCUUGAGUAGUGCAGAGGUAGGCGGAAUUCCCGGUGUGGCGGUGGAAUGCGUAGAUAUCGGGAGGAACACCAGUGGCGAANGCGGCCUACUGGGCACCAACUGACGCUGAGGCUCGAAAGUGUGGGUAGCANACAGG
rnacentral:rRNA from 1 species